rnacentral:rRNA from 1 species
AGCUGAGAGGUGGUGCAUGGCCGUCGUCAGUUCGUACUGUGAAGCAUCCUGUUAAGUCAGGCAACGAGCGAGACCCACGCCCACAGUUGCCAGCGUACUCUCUGGAGUGACGGGUACACUGUGGGGACCGCCGCUGCUAAAGCGGAGGAAGGAAUGGGCAACGGUAGGUCAGUAUGCCCCGAAUAUCCCGGGCUACACGCGAGCUACAAUGGUUGGUACAAUGGGUAUCUACCCCGAAAGGGGACGGGAAUCUCCUAAAACCAAUCUUAGUUCGGAUUGAGGGCUGCAACUCGCCCUCAUGAAGCUGGAAUCCGUAGUAAUCGCGUUUCAACAGAACGCGGUGAAUACGUCCCUGCUCCUU